UUGACUUACAUAACAUGAUCGCACGAAAAUAUGGAAAUAGUAACUUAGAUGUACGUUUGACAACUUUUAGGAAAAAUGUAGAUUUUAUUCAUUAAUUUAUUCAAAUUUAAUUAUUUCCUUGAAACAUCGAUACUUUCAGAUUUCUCAUUGAC